GUGGGGAAUCUUAGACAAUGGGGGAAACCCUGAUCUAGCCAUGCCGCGUGAGCGAUGAAGGCCUUAGGGUUGUAAAGCUCUUUCAGCUGGGAAGAUAAUGACGGUACCAGCAGAAGAAGCCCCGGCUAACUCCGUGCCAGCAGCCGCGGUAAUACGGCGGGGGCUAGCGUUGUUCGGAAUUACUGGGCGUAAAGCGCGCGUAGGCGGACCAGAAAGUUGGAGGUGACAUCCCAGGGCUCAACCUUGGAACUGCCUUCAAAACUCCUGGUCUGGGGUUCGGGAGGGGUGGGUGGAAUUCCGAGUGUAGAGGUGAAGGUCGUAGAGAUUGGGAGGAACACCAGGGGGGAGGGCGGCUAACUGGCUCGAUACUGACGCUGAGGUGCGAAGGCGUGGGGAGCAAACAGGAUUAGAAACCCGUGUAGUCC
rnacentral:rRNA from 1 species